UUACAGGCAUGAGCCACCGUGUCUGGCCUUGGUUUCUCUUUUUAAUACACGUGGGAUUAUGCUAUUUGUAUUGUUGUGUAGAUAUCUUCCUAGGUCAUUGUAGUGUAAGUCUUCCUCAUUAUUUUAAAUUGCUGCAUAUAUGUGCAUAAAUCAUUGCCCUGAUGAUAGGCAUUUUGAUGAGUCUCAAUAUUUUUACUAUAAUGAACAAUGCUGUAAUGAGCAUCGUGUAGAGGCUGCUUUCUAUACAUGUGCAAGUAUGUAGCAUACCUUGAAGAGGAAUCACUGAAUUUAAGGACAUCUGCACUUCACACUUUAAUAUACACUAUCAAAAUUCCCAUUAGAAAGGCGGUACAAAUGUACUACUCUUCUAGCAACAUAUGUGGGAAUAACAUUUCCUUGAAUUCUGACCAACAUUCAAAUUUAACUAUUCUUGCCUAUCUGAUAAGCAAAAAUGUACCUGAUUGUUUUAACUUGGAAGACAUUAUUUCAAUAUCAUGAUUUCCAUAAUUUCUAUCAUUUGGUGUUCUUAUAAAAGCUAUCUCUCAUCUUAUCCUGGAGAUCUUUCCUUCACAUGGGAACCUCUACAUGACACAGAAAAGAAAAGAUGGAUGGGUGGGGAGAGUCUAGAUUUUUAUUCUAGCUGUUAUGCAUGGUGAGGCCAGCUUAAGAAACACAUGGCUUUUAAAAGACUUUCCAUUGUAUUUGGAGCAGACCAGACUUUUAACCACAAUCCAGAGACUUUUAACUUCACAAAGAUGUGGCAUUUUAUUUUAAUAAAGCUAUCGACAGAGCUCCAUUUUCGAGUGACUUUUCAAAAGCAUCUUUUGUCAGCAGAGGGCUUUUAUUAGCUAAUGUAACCUUUCUGUACUCCACGUUAGCAGAGAGAGAAAGGAAAUGUCCUUGGGUUCCAAAUAUGGAAAGUUGUGCAAAGACUCUCAAGGAGAAAAAAGUUGUUCCGCUUUCUGAAGCUGCAUUUGUCACUCAAUGUUGUAUCGUAACUGAAAGUAAUGAACUUUCCAAUGCUACUGUCCAGAAGGUAAAAGGUUCACAAGAUUAUGCCUCUAAACUGGCAAUUGCAUAAAAAGAGAUCACAAAGGAUUAAAAUGUGGAGAGCAAGUAAAAAUGUGAAUUUAGCUGUGAGUGACAACUUGGAGAGACUCAGCUAUAAAAUAUCUGAAAUGGGGGGAGUUAGGCAAGACCUAGGAGGGAGGAGUGAGAGUAACAGUCUUGGCUGUGGAACAGGGUAGCUAAAUGUUUAGGGCUUAAUCUGAGCCACUACUGAUAAUUAAGCAGCAUCGAUAAACUGAAGGAGCAUGGGGAAGGAGUAUAGAUUGUGGACUCUGGGUGCAAUUCCUGUGGGGUGUUGGUGUUGUGGUUCCAUUAAUUAGUCCUUCGAUGUAAGAGCUCAGUCAGUAGCGGAAGAGGCUGAUGACAGGGGCUUUGACAGGUCUUAGGACACUGGGAAAAUAGAUUAAGAUUCUGGAGCAGGGCUAGUGCAGUGUGGGAUCUGAACGUGUUGUCAGGACCGAGCCCAGCUCUUUGAUUAAGGUCAACAUAGUAGGAAUGGAGAAAGUCACUUAAACGGGAACCUGAACCGGGGCUUCAUUUCAAAGCCCAUGGAACAGAUAGGGAAGGGUGACUAAUGACUUUUCUGCUGUUGCAGUCUGGCUCACAAACUGAGUAAGGCACAAAAGGCAGAAGUGGUGUUGAUAGCAAAGGGUCAUCAGAGAAGGCAGGAAGGACACCCUGUCACACUGCCCCUUGGCUCCCCUGAUAUCACUAUGUUUUUCUUUUUUUUUUCCCCUCAUCCUUGUUAGGAACUGGCAGGUAGUUGUGCUUGAUGUCUAUUAGACUCCAAUUCAAUUUUGAGGUCCAUAAUUCAAUGGGGAUAGAUAUAAAAAGGGUUCCUUUUUCAUUAAAAGGGUAAUUACCUCGUUAUCAGAGUGCUGGAAAGAUGAGAGCUUAUGGAUUUUUCAUAAAAUUAUAAGUUUAUAAGGGGCCAGGUGAAGUCAUCUUAUUCUGUCCUCAAGCCAGGGACAAAUUUAAUUCACCCUUGAUGGAUGGGACAUUGUUUAACAAGGAUCUCUAGAGAACAAGCGUUGAUAACUUUCAGUGUUUUGCAGCCCUCAGUUGUGAUAUUUCUUCUAUCCUGUUGAAUAUAUUGACACAGAAUGGAAGUCCAUAAUCUUUUGUGUUCUCUUUGGGUAGAAAGAACAGUGUUAUAAAUGUACUUCAUUUUCAUUAUGUUAAAGAAUACUUAUCAAAUGCCUUAUAGGUGCUUGGUGCCAGAUACAACUGUGACACAGGGAGGAAGACAGACUUGAUCCCUGCUGUCAUUUAGCUGUGAGACUCAUGAGGGAUAAUAACCGAUAAUCACAUCAGUAAAUGACUACAAAUUGUAAUAAGUGCUGGGAAGGAAACACUAAGGCAUAGCUACAGAGGAUAGCAAGAGGAAGCUAAGACCUCACUGAGCCUCCAGCUCUGGCCACUGAGUGAUGGUGCCUUCUGUCUGCCAGGGUGGGAUCGGGCACUCAUCCAGUUGCAGGUGUGAGCACUAUUGAGUAGCGCAGGGUCUUGAGCUGUGGCCAUGGACUUGGGCAACAGGAAAUUAGAAAUAUCCUCUGGAAAGCUGGCCGGAUUUGCAGAUGGCUCUGCUGUAGUACAGUCAGGUGACACUGCAGUAAUGGUCACAGCGGUCAGUAAAACAAAACCUUCACCUUUCCAGUUUAUGCCUUUGGUGGUUGACUACAGACAAAAGGCUGCUGCAGCAGGUAGAAUUCCCACAAACCCUCUGAGAAGAGAGAUUGGUACUUCUGAUAAAAAAAAUUCUUAUAAGUUGAAUAAUAGAUUGUUCAAUUAGACCUAUCUUUCCAGCUGGCUACUUCUAUGAUAUACAGGUUCUGUGUAAUCUGUUAGCUGUAGAUGGUAUUAAUGAGCUUGAUGUCUUAGCAAUUAAUGGCGUCUCUGUAGCCCUCUCAUGAUCAGAUAUUCUUUGGAAUGGACCUGUUGGGGCAGUAUGAACAGGAAUGACUGAUGGAGAAUGUGUUGUUAACCCAACAAGAAAAGAAAUGUCUUCUAGUACUUUAAAUGUAGUGGUUGCUGGAGCACCUAAAAGUCAGAUUGUCAUGUUGGAAGCCUCUGCAGAGAACAUUUUACAGCAGGACUUUUGCCAUGCUGUCAAAGUGGGAGUGAAAUAUACCCAACAAAUAAUUCAGGGCAUCCAGCAGUCAGUAAAGAAAUUGGUGUUACCAAGAGGACACCUCAGAAGUUACUUACCCCUUCACCAGAGAUUGUGAAACAUGCUUAUAAACUUGAUAUGGAGAGACUCUAUGCAGUUUUUACAGAUUGUGAACAUGAUAAAAUUUCCAGAGAUGAAGCUGUUAACAAAAUAAGAUUAGAUACAGAGGAGCAACUAAAAGAAAUAUUUCCAGAGGUUGAUCUAUAUGAAUUAAUAGAAUUAUUCAAUGUUGUUGCAAAGGAAGUUUUUAGAAGUAUUAUUUUGAAUGAAUACAAAAGAUGCCAUGGUCGGGAUUUGACUUUACUUAGGAAUAUAGCUUGUGAGGUAGAUAUGUUUAAAACCCUUCAUGGAUCAGAAUUAUUUCAAAGAGGACAACACAGGUGCUUUGUACUGUUACAUUUGAUUCAUUAGAAUCUAGUAUUAAGUUGGAUCAAGUUAUAAUAGCUAUAAAUGGGAUAUAUGGGAUACUAUGAGUUUCCUCCUUAUGCAACUAAUGAAAUUGUCAAAGUCACUGGUUUAAAUAGAAGAGAACUUGGGCAUGGUGCUCUUGCUGAGAAAGCUUUGUAAAAUGUUAUUCCCAAAUAUUUUCUUAUCACUGUAAGAGUUACAUCUCAAGUCCUAGAGUCAAAUGGGCCAUGUUCUAUGGCAUCUGCAUGGGGUGGAAGUUUAGCGUUAAUGGAUUCAGGGGGUCCAAUUUCACCUACUGUCACAGGCGUAGCAAUGGGAUUGGCCACCAAAACCGAUCUUGAGAAGGGUGAAAUAGAAGAUUAUCAUUUGCUAACAGAUAUUCUGGGAAUUGAAGAUUACAGUGGUGACAUGGACUUCAAAAUAGCUGGCACUAAUAAAGGGAUAACUGCAUUACACGCUGAUAUUAAAUUACCUGGAAUACCAAUGAAAAUUGUAAUGGAGGCUAUUCAACAGGCUUCAGUGGCAAAAAAGGAGAUAUUACAGAUCAUGAACAAAACUAUUUCAAAAUCUCAAACAUCUAGAAAAGAAAAUGGACCUGUUGUAGAAACUGUUCAGGUUCCAUUAUCAAAACUAGAAAAACUUGUUGGACUGGGUGGAUAUAACUUAAAAAACAUCAGAUUGAAACAGUUGUAACUAUUAGUCAGGUGGAUGAAGAAACGUUUUCUAUAUUUGCAUCAACACCCAGUGCUAUGCAUGAGGCAAGAGACUUCAUUGCCGAAAUCUGCAAGGAAGAUCAGGAGCAGCAAUUAGAAUUUGGAGCAGGGUAUACCGCCACAAUAACUGAAAGCAGAGAUACUGGUGUAAUGGUAAAAUUAUAUCCAAAUAUGACUGCGGUACUGCUUUAUAACACACAAGUUGAUCAAUGAAAGAUUAAACAUCCUACUGCCCUAGGAUUAGAAGUUGGCCAAGAAAUUCAGGUGAAAUACUUUGGAUGUGACCCAGCUGAUGGAAGAAUGAGGCUUUCUCAUAAAGUGCUUCAGUCUCCAGCUACAACUGUUGUCAGAAGUUUGAAUGACAGAAGCAGUAUUGUAAUGGGAAAACCUAUUUUACAGUCAUCUAAUUAUUCUCCGUGAUUUUUUUAAAGAGAAAUCCAGAAUUCUAUUUUUUCUAGGGUAAGGUGCUAUAGAGCAAAAUUUUAGUAGUAUCUUCCAUUGUGUAGAUUUAUAUACGGUAUAAAUAUAUUCUAAUUAUUUGUAUUAAAAUGCUCAUUUACAUGUGCCAAUUUUGAAAUUCAAGAGUAACCUAUAUUCGUUUAAUCUUAUUUACAUUAUAAAUCAAGAAAUAUUAUUAAAAGUAAGUCAUCUAUACAUCUUAGAAAAGAUUACAUACCUUUGUUUCUCUAAUUCUGAAAUAUAUGAAAAACAUAGAUAUGUCAUAUAUAGUAUUAUAACAGAUCUCUUCCUACAUCUCAUUUGUCUUCUUUAUAUACAGUAGUGACAAUUUACCCUCAGUCAUCCUACAGCUCACCUCUUUGCCCAACAACUUUACUUGCCUACAACUGUCCAUAAACUGGAACAGGCCAUAUUCAAAGCCAGUGCCUAUUUAUUCAGAAUGAUUACUAGACAUAGUGAGUUGAGGGAGCUAAUCUUAUACACUUUUAAUAAUACGAUGUCUUUUAAAUUUGUCACAAAAUCAUGAACAUAGUGGAAUAAAUAUAAAUGAGAUUCUAACUAGGAUGAGGUAGUAAUUAUGUAUAUUUUUCAAAUUUACCUAAACAUAGGAAAAUUAUUUACUUGUCAAAUUGAACUAGGUCACUUUUGGAAUAUGUAUAUUGCUCUAAUGUCUGGAAGUUCUUAGUAUAAGAGCUGGAGGAAUCAUGACUUUCAGUUAAUAGAUGUUUGAAAUAGAUGUUUAGAGGUUACUGAUAUACAUGUCAAGUUGUUCAUUCCCAUCAUUUAAAAUAUCACCUUAUAAUUCCACACAAAAGUAAAUGGCAUGUGGAUGUCAUAAUUUAGAAUGUGUAAUCUUUUUAAAAAUCUUAUAAAAAUACACUGGACUCAGUGGUACGUGCCUGUAGUCCCAGCUACUUGGGAGGCUGAGGUGGGAAGAUCACUUGAACCCAGAAGUUCAACACUGUAGUGUGCAACAAUCAUGCCUAUGAAUAGCUACUUCACUCCAGCCUGGGCAACAUAGCAGGA